AGAUACUGCUAUAAUGCAGUCGUACGCACUGGCCCAACUGAUUGAUGGUGCUUGCACCUGAUUGACGAUGGAUCACCAGUGAGUGGCGGACGGGUGAGUAACACGUAGGUAACCUGCCCCGGAGCGGGGGAUAACAUUUGGAAACAGAUGCUAAUACCGCAUAACAACAAAAGCCACAUGGCUUUUGCUUGAAAGAUGGCUUUGGCUAUCACUCUGGGAUGGACCUGCGGUGCAUUAGCUAGUUGGUAAGGUAACGGCUUACCAAGGCGAUGAUGCAUAGCCGAGUUGAGAGACUGAUCGGCCACAAUGGAACUGAGACACGGUCCAUACUCCUACGGGAGGCAGCAGUAGGGAAUCUUCCACAAUGGGCGCAAGCCUGAUGGAGCAACACCGCGUGAGUGAAGAAGGGUUUCGGCUCGUAAAGCUCUGUUGUUGGAGAAGAACGUGCGUGAGAGUAACUGUUCACGCAGUGACGGUAUCCAACCAGAAAGUCACGGCUAACUACGUGCCAGCAGCCGCGGUAAUACGUAGGUGGCAAGCGUUAUCCGGAUUUAUUGGGCGUAAAGCGAGCGCAGGCGGUUGCUUAGGUCUGAUGUGAAAGCCUUCGGCUUAACCGAAGAAGUGCAUCGGAAACCGGGCGACUUGAGUGCAGAAGAGGACAGUGGAACUCCAUGUGUAGCGGUGGAAUGCGUAGAUAUAUGGAAGAACACCAGUGGCGAAGGCGGCUGUCUGGUCUGCAACUGACGCUGAGGCUCGAAAGCAUGGGUAGCGAACAGGAUUAGAUACCCUGGUAGUCCAUGCCGUAAACGAUGAGUGCUAGGUGUUGGAGGGUUUCCGCCCUUCAGUGCCGGAGCUAACGCAUUAAGCACUCCGCCCUGGGGAGUACGACCGCAAGGGUUGAAACUCAAAGGAAUUUGACGGGGGCCCGCACAAGCGGUGGAGCAUGUGGGUUUAAUUCGAAGCUACGCGAGACCUUUACCAGGUCUUGACAUCUUGCGCUACCUUAGAGAUAUCGUCCGUUCGGGGACGCAUGACAGUUGUUGCAUGCUCGUCGGUCAGCUCGAUGUCGUGAGAUGCUGGCUAGUCCCGCAACCGAGCGCAAGCUGUUACUAGUGCCAGGCCAUUCGCUUGACACCUCUUA
rnacentral:rRNA from 1 species